GUGAGGAAUAUUGGUCAAUGGGCGGGAGCCUGAACCAGCCAAGUCGCGUGAAGGAAGAAGGAUCUAUGGUUCGUAAACUUCUUUUGCAGGGGAAUAAAGUGCAGGACGUGUCCUGUUUUGUAUGUACCCUGAGAAUAAGGAUCGGCUAACUCCGUGCCAGCAGCCGCGGUAAUACGGAGGAUCCGAGCGUUAUCCGGAUUUAUUGGGUUUAAAGGGUGCGUAGGUGGUUUGAUAAGUCAGCGGUGAAAGUUUGCAGCUUAACUGUAAAAUUGCCGUUGAAACUGUCGGUCUUGAGUGCAAAUGAGGUAGGCGGAAUGUGUUGUGUAGCGGUGAAAUGCUAGAUAUAACACAGAACUCCGAUUGCGAAGGCAGCUUACUGGGAUGCAACUGACACUGAUGCACGAAAGCGUGGGUAUCAAACAGGAUUAGAAACCCGAGUAGUCC
rnacentral:rRNA from 1 species